AGCGAACGCUGGCGGCAGGCCUAACACAUGCAAGUCGAACGGAUCCUUCGGGAUUAGUGGCGGACGGGUGAGUAACACGUGGGAACGUGCCCUUUGGUUCGGAACAACUCAGGGAAACUUGAGCUAAUACCGGAUGUGCCCUUCGGGGGAAAGAUUUAUCGCCAUUGGACCGGCCCGCGUCUGAUUAGCUACUUGGUAAGGUAAAGGCUCACCAAGGCGACGAUCAGUAGCUGGUCUGAGAGGAUGAUCAGCCACAUUGGGACCGAGACCCGGCCCACACUCCUACGGGAGGCAGCAGUGGGGAAUCUUGCGCAAUGGGCGAAAGCCUGGCGCAGCCAUGCCGCGUGAAUGAUGAAGGUCUUAGGAUUGUAAAAUUCUUUCACCGGGGACGAUAAUGACGGUACCCGGAGAAGAAGCCCCGGCUAACUUCGUGCCAGCAGCCGCCGUAA
rnacentral:rRNA from 1 species